ACAGCAGGUUGGAAGGGCUGCAGUCCAAAUCUCCAGGCUCUAGCAGGACGCACCAGCAGAUGGAGAAAGACAAGAGACAACGGCCUCCAAAGAAGCUUUGCUCCUUCUUUUGAUAGUUUGCAUUGGGAGAGUGGAAUCGUGACAGUAUUUUAGGUAGGACGUGCGAUUUGGGCGUCCGCUUCGAAACCUUCCCCCUUUCUGAUGGCACGGCACGAUGCAUUUCACUCCGGUUUGCAAACUAGCACCCGCAGCCUGCAGGUGCCCACCGCCACCAGCCCCAGACCGAAGCAUCCGAUGGUACGUACACUCGGCAGCAUCCGUGGCGUGGGCACAGGCCGCGGCCCGUGCCCCGGCGCUUGCUUCCUCGUUGCAGGGCGGCGCGGCGGCAAAGUGCAACCAGGCUCGGAGUUGCUGUCCGCUGGGGCUCGGAUUUCGCUUUCCUGCUCGAUCGAUUUCAAGUUUGACCAUGUGGAUGAAGAAUUAUUGCCAUGCAAAAUUGAAUAUAAGUAUGUUGCUUCUUAAACUUCCUUCUACCCUUCAGUGAAUAACAUAAGUUUUGCUGCUAGAAACUUUUCUUGAGUUAAAUGCCCUGUUUGUUCAAAUUACACUUCAUGUUUAUCACUUGUCUUAAGAAAAAAAAUCCCAGAGUCAGGAUUCAGCAUCAAGUGCAGCAGUAAAUUAAUAGUGCGCAGAUUCUGAACUGAUAUCAUGCUGCUGAAUAAUUCUCUUAGAACACGAGCAAUCACCCAUACCCCAAACAGUUUUACUGUGAUACUUGCUUUGAAGCCAAAUUAAAAUUUCAUGAAUGGUUGUAGUUCAGCUCUUGUUUUGGUUCAUAGAAAAGUCAACUAAUGCAAUUUUUUUUUUGACGAAACUAAUGUACAUUUCAGAGUGAGUAACAUCCUAAUUUCAUUUUUAGCUUGUAAAUGCCCUGUGCAGUUCGAUCUAAUUUACACUAAACAUGGGAUCAGACAUUUUAUCAGUCCUGGCUUUGAGUUUUUUACUAUUAAGUAAAAUAAGAGUGGGACAUGGAGAAUAAAGCGGAAAGCCACCGACACAACAAUGGGGCACAAAAGGAUGUCUAAGCUUCAAGGUAGCAUCCACAUGCAACUGACCUAGAUUAUGUAUAUUCUGAAGUCUGCAUCAUGAGGUGAUGACGGCACCUAACCCGUACAAUCAUGUAGUAUCAUUUCAUAUCAUCUACCAGGAAUUGGAUGUUAAAUUUGUCUUAUCAAGAGCACCAGAAAAAGCGUACCAUGUCUGACCCCAUUAGAGAACUGGAAAAGAAACUUCUGUACUUUGUAAAGUAGCUAUGGUCUAUGGAAGCAAGGAAUACUUUAUGGCUACCUCUGAUGGAUAUGGGGAGAAAAAGGGAGAACCCUAACUUUACAUGCACUCCAUGCAUAAACACGUAGGUUCCUUAAACUAAGAAUGCCCUAAUUUGUUCUUCUAUCUGUCUCAUCAUCAAAUUUCUCUUAGCAUCAUAUCUAUAAAAAUUCUUGCGUAUUUAAGGAUAUGGUUACUACAGCAUUACAUAAAUACAGAGAAUGCACAUCCUUUUAUCUGAGAAUGCUGGCUAGAAUUCUAACUCAGGUCACUAAAUGCAACAGAAGCAACACACAAGGAUUUAAGUGAUACUGAUGUCUAGGAGGAUGAAUGAGUCACCUGAAUCCCCAUGGUGUUCUCACACUCACUUUCCUCGAUGCGAUAUUCAUGCAUCACCCAGCUGGUCCUGAGCCCCUGAGGAGCUCGACCCUUGUAAUAGACCAAUGUCUUCUUCAUACCAAUUGAUCUGUUCUGGUAGUUGAUCCGCCGAUCUUUGCCAGUCGAUUUCCAGUAUCCUGCUUGGGUUGCGCGGUUUGUGCGGCAUCCAUUGGGAUACUUCCUAUCCCUUGGCCCAAAGAAGUACCACUCAGGAUCUCUGCUAGGCAGGAAUGAUUUCUCUUCCAAAACAAAGAUAUCUCAAGUUCAGUCAGAAGUGAUGAAAUCUCAGGAUGAGCAACUGAAUGGGCUUGAAUUUCAGGUUACCUGCCAGCUGCCAAGGCUCACAUUUGUAGAGGUCUACUUCGGGGAUUAUGUCGAGCUCGAUGCUGAGUCCAUGGACCUUCCUCUUGAGAUAGUAGUUAACAAGCUCCUCAUCAGUUGGAUGGAACCUAAAGCCUGGCGGGAGAUCAGCCGGCGCCAUGACCUCCCAGCUCGCCGCCGUCCUUUCUUGCUGAUCUUUCUCUUUGUCUUUACCCUGUCUUUCCCUUCCGCCUCCGGCCACUGUGCUCUUUACUCUUUAUCUCCUCCGUGAAACGAUUCAAAGCCUGCCCUACAAGUAGCCGUGUUUCCCUUUACAGGAUUCCCACACAAUCUCUGGACGUCUUACAGCACCGCAGGAUCUUCUUUUCUUACUUUUUAAUGAAACCGACUUUCAUUUUAUUUUUCUUGAUAACACACUUUUAUGAUAUUUUUUUCUAAACACACAGGAUAGCUACGCAUCUUUGUAUUAAGGGAAAAUAGAAGUUUACACAACGACCUUACCGGGUCACAAACUUACAAAAAGAGGUAACUAGGCAAGGAAAUUACGAGAGGCGUAACAACAAGGAGCUGAACCGGUGACUCAAGUUAGAUUAAAGAACCGAAAGCAAGCAGCCAUUCUUUGAGCAUUGCUAGAUUUGUCGCCCCUGCGCUGCACCAUCACUCGAUGUCAUCCCAGAUGCGAGCCACCAUGGGGUCCGAAGAGAUGCGAUGGUUGUUGAAGACCACAUCAUUUCUUGCUAGCCAGAUUCUCCAAUAAAUAAGCAGAAUUAUGGAGUCGAGGCCCUUCUAGAACGCUUUGUCGACACCCUUUCGUAGCUCCGACCACCAGUCCAGGAGUGUAGUGUCUGCAAGCGGCGUAUGGAUCCCCAGGACGCGUCACCAGAGCUCCCUUGCGGAGACGCAGUGCAGGAGGAGAUGAUCGGUUGAUUCCUGGAGCUGAGCACACAUGGUGUAAGAAUCAUCAUCCCGAAGUCCGUGGCGCUUCCUGCGUGCCGCUGUCCAAAGCCUGCCAUGGAUCGCAAGCCAGCCGAAGAACCUUACCUAGAUUGUGGAGGCCUGUAUUGGGAUUCGAAAGUUGUCACGGCACUGCCCACUUGCACCGUGAGUCGAUAUGCCUGUCGAAAUAGCGGAACGGUUCAAAGGUGGUGCCAGGGUACUGUUGACCUGAGAGGGGCACUCUGAAGUCUGAACAUUGCAGAGGCAACACGCUCACAGCAAAGUUGCACAAUGAAGAUGCGUAUAAGCACUUCUCGGAGAAUAAUUUGCUGCGUCAUGUGGAAAAAUGCAGUCCAAGAUUUUAAGGUUCGGAGGGUCCAAAGCAUCUCUCUUAUAUUUAUUGACCUGGAAGGAAUCCUGAUUGACAUUCCAGGGCUACUGCCAACAGCAUGCGACUGUAGAUGCAUUACAUAAGACGAUCAAAAUCAGAGGUGCCAGAUUUGGAGCUUAACACUACUUCAGAAGACAGAAAAGAGAGGAUUUGAUUUGCUAUUCAGCAUGGAAUAAAGCGGAAAGCGCGCGACACCGACAUGCGUGGCCAUGAGAGCGGGGGCGCGCCAAGAGGGCGCGCGAGAUGGCUUGCUUUGCUUUAGUUUGCCCUUUAACACCUCAUGAUCAAUGCACAGCCCAAUCCAGAUCGUGUCUGCUGAUCUUAAGGAGAAGAUUAGAAGAUCAAUAUAUGCAUGGCAGUAAACAGCUGGUAAUACAACUUGUUAAGACCCCGGGUAAAUUUUCCCUUUGUUUCUGGUCAGCAAGGCAACAGAUUUGUCUCAUCGGAGGACAGAAAAGCAAAGCACGCCACUGCUACUACCGCGCGGUACGUACAGACGACGACGCAAGAAAGGAGUAUUCAGAAAAUUUGGGCCUUGUUCUCAAAGCCCUACUAGCUGGAGUGUCCUAUAUUAUGUAACAAGUGCACGCAGUACAUGAUGAUGAUCAUGUAACCAUAUGUAAAGAGGCAAAGACCAAGAUGA